CCCCAGCGAAGGGAAACAAAACAAAACGCCGGCACCGCCGCGCUCUCCCUCCUUCUCCUCCUGGCAUUUGGUGGUGGUUUUUUUUUCUUGGGGACUCUCCUUUCUCCUGCCAGACUGACUUGCACCUUCUCGAUUAUUUCUCUUCCCCUCGUUUUUUUAUACUCUUCUCCCUGCUUCCAAACCCUGUGUCUGUGUGUUUUAAUACUAUCACAACCUCUGCUAAAAAUAGAUCUUUUUAUAUACCCUUCCUCCUCUCUGAUCCCAUCCAACACCCCUUGUUAAGGAGAAUUGUAUUCCAGACAAAUACAAGGAAGUUGAACUCCAGACUGAACUCUUUGGUAUCCUGGGUGUAUGCUCAAAGCUAUGGUGUAGCCAGACCAGAGUGAAUUCCAUGAGGCGGACUAUUUCUGAAGGAUCUGAUCUAUGAAGACCUGCUAGCAAGAACAGUACUUCCCAGGGAAAAUAUACCAGCUACUUGUGUGUUGCAGUCAAAGGUAACCCUGUGUUUGGAAAUGUGAAAUGCAAGUUUUACUGGAAUAGAAACAUAGUAUUUUUGCUGGAAUGUGAAUACUUUGAGAGGGAAAAAAAAAC
rnacentral:lncRNA from 1 species